rnacentral:rRNA from 1 species
GACGUAGGGUCCAAGCGUUGUCCGGAUUUACUGGGCGUAAAGAGCGCGUAGGCGGUCUUGUAAGUGUGAAGUGAAAUCUCCAGGGCUCAACCCGGAAACUGCUUCGCAUACUGCAAGACUUGAGGGAUGCAGAGGUAUGUGGAAUCCCUGGUGUAGCGGUGAAAUGCGUUGAUAUCAGGAGGAACACCCAUGGCGAAGGCAGCAUACUGGGCAUCAUCUGACGCUGAGGCGCGAAAGCGUGGGUAGCAAACAGG